AGUUUGGUGAUGCUAAUGAACCCUGGUUCUCAACAAAGUUUCCUCCACAUGUCCCGAUGACUGGAGGAUUGGUAGUUGGAGGAUUGGUAGUUGGUAUCUCAGUGGUAGAACCACCCUGGAUGACGUAAGUAGCUCUGAAACCACGCCCAGUGACGCUGUAAUCAGAUGUGAAAGAAACCAACAUCUGGUUGCUGCUAGAGAUCUGGACAGGGGGUAUUGUGUUACCACAGAAGAUCUCUCCGAUACUGUUGAUGUCGUCUGUGCGUACCUCGA